rnacentral:rRNA from 1 species
CAGUUAAAAAGCUCGUAGUUGAAUAUCCGGCGUCAAUGACGUCUGCCCAAUGAGCCUUUGAUACUAUAAUUAGUUUUGAUUGAUCAAAUGGGCGUUUACUGUGAACAAAUUAGAGUGCUCAAAACAGGCUUUAGCUUGAAUUUUUCAGCAUGGAAUAAUAAAAUACGACUUCUUUCAUUUUAUUGGUUAUUGGGAGAAGUAAUGGUUAACAGGAACAGUUGGGGGUAUUCGUACUUAAAAGUCAGAGGUGAAAUUCUUAGAUUUUUUAAAGACGAACUAAUGCGAAGGCAUUUACCAAGGAUGUUUUCAUUAAUCAAGAACGAAAGCGUUGGGAUCAAAAAGGAUCAGAUACCCUUGUAGUCAACGCCGUAAACGAUACUGACUAGGGAUUGGUGAGGAACACCCUCAUCAGCACCUAAUGAGAAAUCCNAGUCUUUGAGUUCUGGGGANAGUAUGGU